rnacentral:tRNA from 1 species
GGCAGUGUGGCCUAGGGGAUAGGGCACUGGACUACAACCCAGGAGACCUGCAUUCAAUUCCUAGCGCUGCCA